UGGGUGAAAUCCGCCAUAGCUAGUGCCUCCCCGCGCCAAGACCCUCCUUGUUUAGACCCCUCAUGGCGAGUGGGAAAUUUUACCCAUAGCCACGAGUGGUUAGGACCUUAGGAUGCCGAGCCCUAUCGAAGACUGACGCUGUUGUCCGCCAGAACCCGCGUCACCGGCGACUCCCUCCAUCCCUGCGCCUAUGGAGACCACCAGAA
rnacentral:lncRNA from 1 species